UGUUACUCUGAGGUGACCAAUGGGAGCUCUCCCCCACCAUUCUUAAUGUCAAUCGUCAAACAUAUAAAGGUUGUGGCAAACUGAGGUUAAGUUACAUCUGAAGGUGAAGUGACAUUGGACUGAGGCAGCUUCCAUCCCAAGGCAGCUACAGACAUACAAUUCAGAGAAACUUUGUGCAAAAAAGAUUAAAGAUGCUCCUGAUCAUCCUGAUUCAACUCCUGAUCAUCGCAUCAGCAAAUGCCCAGGCAACCACCACUGUAGCAGCUACAACCGCAGCACCCACCACUGUAGCAGCUACAACUGCAGCACCCACCACUGUAGCACCUACAACUGCAGCACCCACCACGACUGCUGCUGGUAUCAUCACCACCACGGCUGCUGGUGCCGCCACCACCACCACGGCUGCUGCUGGUGUCAUCACAA